ensembl:lncRNA
GUCAGGACAGAAGGAGGAGUUUAGCACAGACUCUAUACAGCUGAGUAGAUCUGAACAUCACACAACACUGUGUGGAGCAGCUGCUCUGUUUUUAGCUUGUUCUUACUAGAUCAGUGAGUGAACAUGUUGAUCUAUAUUGUUAUACUGCUGUCAUCAACUGAAGGUUGCGGAGCCUCAGAAGUCAUUACUCCAAAAAGAAACAGAGAAUUUGCUCUUGAGGGUGACAUUAAUGUGACACUCUCCUGUAACUACAGCGGUUCUGCUUUUGGUGUUCACUGGUAUCGUCAAUAUACAGGUUCACCACCACAGUUCCUCAUACUGGAAUAUUCAGGGGUAACAACUCCAGCUAAACCACCCAUUCCAGGAUUAACCAUCAAUCACAGAAAAACUGAAAGCCAUGUGGAUCUGAUCAUCUCCUCUGCUGCUGUAUCAGACUCUGCUCUGUACUACUGUGCUCUGGAGCCCACACUGACAGGAAAACAGACUGCACUGUACAAAAACCUCACAGUAUUUUGGGAAAGUAUUAAAGCAAGGAUUUUUCUACUGACAUUUUAUUAUUCAAUGUUCAUUAAAUACCCAGCUAACCAAUAAAUAAUAAAAACUCCUUCUUCAUGCUUUUAUGUCAUGAUUUAAACGUAUAAAAUGUAAUAUCCUGCCAUUUAAAGGUAAUUGUAAGCAACAUAAAUAUGUUUUCUGCAAAUCUGGAUAAUUAUUGCUAUAGGAUCCUCAUUUCAAGAUUAUCCCCUGAAAUGUCACUGAAAUAUGUUGUAACUUGUAAUUAAUUAAGUCUAUAUGUAUCUAUGUAAUACUACUUAUUUGAUUAAAUAUGUGGGACUGUGUUAUAAAUAACAGUCUUGUCUGUCAUAUAUUGUGUGAGAUGAGGGCUGAAUGUUGUCUGAGUAGGAGGAGUUCACACAUUGUGAAAUGCAUUAAGACUCUCAACAUUUCACAAACCUCAUUGGAUUAACAGAUGUUUCUAUGUGUCUCCUGUUCAAACCUGGUUAUUGUGCCAACAUGUAGAUUUUUUUAGUUGUAUUAUCAUCAGCUCAAGGUAUUGUUGCAUAUGCUGGACAUUUAAUUAGUACACUGUAAAAAAUAUUUUGAAGUUGUCAAUAGGAAAAAUAAUACUGGAGUAUUACUUCUCUUUUACAAUAAAAUAUUUUCAGUCUAAACACACACAUUUAGUUUUGUACUUUAAUGUAGUUCUUUUUUUAAGCAAAAGGGCCUGACUACUGUUUCUCAGAAGCCAAUAACAUACUGGUAUUUUCAUACAGUAGAUUUGAAAGAGGAUGCACAUUUAUUUCCUGGCUCUGUUUUUGAAUUUUAAAUGUAUGCUUUAAAUACAGGUUCCAGAGCAGCAGAAGUCAUCACACCAUUCAGUGAUUAUCAGUUUUCUGAUGAGGGUGAGAGUGUGACACUCUCUUGUAGCUACACUGGUUCUGUUCGAGGUCUUCACUGGUUUCGUGAAUACGUGGGUUCACCACCAAAGUUUCUCAUUAUGGAUUAUAAUGGGGCAGUUAUUAAAGCUGAUCCUCCAGUUGUUGGAGUCUCAAUCCAUCACAGAAAAGACAACAGUAGUGUGGAUCUGAAGAUCUGCUCUGCUGCUGUCACUGACUCCGCUCUGUACUACUGUGCUCUGGAGCCCACAGUGAAAGGAAAUCCACUGCAUGCUGUACAAAAAGCUGUUAUAUAAACUAAUGUCAAUAAAAAUAACUCAAACAUAUAUACCAUUUUAAAGCACACAGUAAAGCAACUGGAUAAAACAUGCUGUUCUGAACUCCAACAGAGGGGGGCAACAUUAUCUCACAAGCUUUUUUUUUUUUUACACCAAAUAAGCACCUGACAUCUAUAAGAAACAGCUGAAAGCACAGAACAUGUUUCAUAUUUCAUUAACCCACACACACAUUAUUCAUACACAACAGAAGUUCACUCAGUCUCAGUGCUUUCAGUCAACCAUCAGCUGCUCUCAUAUUUUCAUUCGUUUUAUAAAACCACAUUCAGCAGAAUUUGGAACUAAUAUAUCGGUACAGUAUGUUAAUAAUUAUUAUAAAACAAAUCAAUUUAAUAAGUACUAAAAAUUAAAAAUAUUAUCUUUAUAGUGGACUUCAGUUAAGAUGGAGGAGAGGAAGAUGAUACUCAUAAUGAUCAUCACAGUUUCAGGUAAAUAUACUUUUAAUCACAAUUACUUAUAUUUUAUGAAUCAAAUAAUUCAGUGAAAUAUAAUGUGCAUUUAUAUUAAACAAAAAAUUAAAUAAUGACAUUUAAAAAUAUGAUUCACAUUUCAGGUGGUUUUGCUGAUAGAAUUGGACCAAGAGAAGGAGACACUAAUAUAAUCAGAGAAGAAGGAGAGUCUGUGACACUGAGCUGCACAUAUGAAACAACCAGCGAUAAUAUUUGGCUCUACUGGUACAGACAAUAUCCAAACAGAGAACCAGAAUAUAUACUGUAUAAAGGCGCUCGAUCAUGGAGCAGUGAAGAGAAUAUACCAGAUGGGUUUCAGUCGACUACAUCCCAGACAUCCACUGAACUUACUAUUGUAAAAGCAGCUCUGUCAGAUUCUGCUCUUUAUUACUGUGCACUUCAAGUAGCCCAGUGAUGCAAAAUACAAGAGAAGCUUUACAAAAACUCACAUGAAAUUAAUGCUUUGAAGAGUCUUUAAUCAAUCAGUAUCAAACCACAUCAUGUUUUUAUAAACCACAAACAGCGAAUGUGGUAACAGCUGUGAAUUUAGAAGGUUAAAAUGUUGCAUAAGGACAUGUGAAAACAAUUUAGCAUGCAUUACAUGCAUUCUCAUGUCUCAUUACAUCUCUUUUCUCAUUUGCAUACGUUUCUAAUGGUCUAUAAUCAAUUCAAGUCUCAUGAAAAAACAACAACAAAACACUAAUUUAUAAUUGUUAAUUGUUCUUCAGAUGUUACUUUUGUGAAUGUCACACUAGUCCGAAUAAUAAAAAGGACCAAACAAUAAAAACCCAUUUAAAAAAAGGGGGAAACAAU